CGGCGGAGCAUGUUGCUUAAUUCGAUGCGACGCGAAGAACCUUACCUGGGUUUGACAUGCGGGGAAAAGCCGUAGAGAUAGUGCGCCUGACAGGUGUGACGAGCGCAACCCUUGUCCUAUGUUGCCAGCGGGAUGUCAAGUCUCAUGCCCCUUAUAUCCAGGCUGCAUACAUGGCCGGUACAAGGGCUGCUAUCUCGCGAGAGUGAGCGUCCCAGAAAGCCGGUCUCAGUUCGGAUCGUAGUGCAACUCGACUACGUGAAGUCGGAGUCGCUAGUAAUCCGAAUCAGCAACGNCGGGGUGAAUGCGUUCCCGGGCCUUGUACACACCGCCGUCACACCACGAAAGUUGGUAACACCCGAAGCCGGUGGCCCAACCGCAAGGAGGGAGCCGUCGAAGUGGGAUCAGCGAUUGGGGUGAAGUCGUACAAGGU
rnacentral:rRNA from 1 species